AAACAUCAAUCCGGCCAGUUUUGUCUCCCGAAGAUCUUCGUCUGCUGUUUCUGCGAAUCUCAUUUCAUCGAACCUUAAUCUCUUCGAAACUGCAACCAUGAGUGAUGAAGGAGAAAGGUCUUGUCCUCUUUGUGAUGAGGAGAUGGACUUGACUGAUCAGCAUCUGAAGCCUUGCAAAUGUGGCUAUCAGAUAUGUGUUUGGUGUUGGCAUCAUAUCAUAGAGAUUGCCGAGAAAGAUGAGACAGAGGGUCGAUGUCCUGCAUGUCGAACCCCUUAUGACAAAGAAAAGGUUGUAGGCAUGGCAGUUAAAUGCGAGAGAUUGGUUGCUGAAGUUAACAUGGAGCGGAAAAAGUCACAGAAGGCUAAGCCUAAACCUUCUGAGGGAAGGAAACAACUCAGCAGUGUGAGAGUGAUUCAAAAAAAUCUGGUUUACAUAGUGGGCUUGCCUCUUGAUCUAGCAGAUGAAGAUCUUCUCCAGCAUACAGAAUACUUUGGUCAAUAUGGGAAAGUGCUAAAGGUAUCAAUGUCUCGAACUGCAGCUGGGGUUGUCCAACAAUUUCCCAACAAUACUUGCAGUGUAUAUAUUACUUACUCCAAAGAAGAGGACGCAAUUCGAUGUAUCCAGUCUGUACAUGGAUUUGUUUUGGAUGGGAGAUCUUUGAAGGCGUGUUUUGGAACAACUAAGUACUGUCAUGCAUGGCUGAGAAAUGCGCCUUGCACCAAUCCAGAUUGCCUUUAUUUGCAUGAGAUUGGUCCACAAGAGGACAGUUUCACAAAAGAUGAGAUCAUAUCAGCUUACAUGAGGAGUAAAGUCCAACAGAUUACUGGUGUGACAAAUAAUUUGCAGCGCCGAGCAGGGAGUAUGUUACCUCCACCAGUGGAUGAUUAUUGCGAUAAUAAUUAUAUUGCUAAGACAAACCCAAAAGAUGUUUCAAGCGCAAGUUAUACCCAGCUUGAGAGCACACAAAGUGUUCUUAAAAGUUCUCCUCCAAACGGCAGCUCUGGCAAGUCUGUUACUCUUCCUGCUGGAGCCUCAUGGGGAAUGCGUUCCUCAAGCCAGCCUCCAGUACCAAAUUCUGGCUGUUUAAGCAAGCCCUUAAAAGGGAAACCUGGUGUUUUAUCUGCGGUUGCAAACACAACUCAGAUGACCACAUCUCAUAGUGAUGUGUUAAAGAAGCCAGCUCUAGAGGAGAAUCGGAUUUCACAUGGAAAUGCUAAACAGGAGUUAUCUAUCCCUUCAAAACAGGGAGCCCUUUUGGAUGUUCGAACUGGGUUGCUUGAAAAGCGUUGCUUACUUGAUAGAACCCAGAGCAGUAAUAAAGGAGCGUUAGUAUCUGCAACUGUGGAUGAUAGUAGAGUUGUUACUGAGCCAUCAAAUUGUAUAGAAUCUUUGGAACAUGCUUUUUCGACUUGUAGACCUUUGCCUUCAGAUGGAAAUGAAAAAGUUAACGGAAGAAUACAGAACGUAACAAUCCAGGUUGCAUCCGUGACUGCAGACAAGGGUGUUGUGGAUGACCAUAAUGGGCUAACAAGAUCUGAUAGCUGUCUUAUUUAUAACAAUGCUUCCCUAAAGUCACCUCGUGUGGAAUUGUCCCAAGAGCAUUGUACCGAGGAAAAGAGGGAAGUUUUGCCGUUGCAGAAUUCUGGUAGAUCUGAUACAUUGGCAAGAGCGGAAAUGGAUGUAGGAGCUGAUGUGGUGUCUCCAUUUGUAAUGGGUGCAGACCCUGGAAUCGAGGAUGGUGUAUUAUCGCUCAACAGACGACUCAGGGAUCUGGAGGUUGAUAGCUGUCCAACCAAUGUGGCCCAUACAUCUAGUUCAGUACAUGUUGCGAAUCAUAUGCAGUCUUGUUCAAAUGACAGUGGGUUUGUUCCCUCAUUUGGCGGUAGAGGAAGUGAUAUGUCACACAUUUCACAUGGAUAUAUUGAUAAGCCAAUUGUUGGGACCUCUUGUGUAAAUGGCAGAAGCCUUGAGCAUUCUACUUGGUUUCCCGAGAACGUACGAGAGACAAAGCGAAUUGGAAACCUGUUCCUUGAAUCACAAAGAAACUCUACUAGUGCAAUAGAUGACAGUGUAAUUGCAAAUAUAUUGUCCUUAGACCUGGGUGAAUCCCUAAAUUCACCUCAUAACUUGGCGAAGCUAUUGGGGUCUACCGACGGAGAGGCUAAGUCUCUUAAGCUUCCCAGUUCCUGCAAAGUUCAGAAUAAUCAAUCGAGAUUUUCUUUUGCAAGGCAAGAGGCGUCCAAGGAUCAAUCUUUUGAGUCGUGUAGCUUCUUCAACAAGAUGUCGCAUGGCAAUGGUUUAUACCAGGAUUUUGCAGAUAGGUGUGAUCCUCGUGUAGAGAAGCUUGGAAUGCACUGUGGUCUCCCAUCCGGUUAUCUGAAGGGAUUCAAUUCAGUUACUGGGAAUACUGCAGUAUCCUCAUCUGCUCUUUCAAAAUCUCCGGUUUCAGCACCUCCUGGAUUUUCAGUUCCAAGUCGAGCUCCUCCGCCAGGCUUCUCAUCAAAUGGGAGAAUAGGGCAGACGAUUGGUGAUUUAGCAGGGAACCGUCUUUUCGGAGCAUCAUUAUUAGGAAAUUCAUAUCAGUCGCCUCGAGUUGAAAAUAUCUGUGGUGUUGGGGAUAUUGAACUUAUGGAUCCUGCCAUUUUGGCAGUUGGGCAAGGUAGAUUUCAAGCUGGCCUUCAGAAUGCUAGCCUAGAUUUGAGACUAAACUUUCCGGGAAAUGUAAGCACUUUUGGAAACGAGGCAAAGCUUCAACAACUGCUAAUGCAGAACCCUCUAUCUUCACAUCAGAACUUCAGAUUCCCGAGUCUGGGUGAUGGUAACCUCUCCCUCGGCGAUUCUUUGGGGAUGUCAUCAAGGCGAACAGAUCAAUCUCAAGGAAGUAGUUUAACACCCCCAUUUGCCCAACUCUCUCUUCAACAGUCCUCUAAAACCUUGCUCUCGCCAACGCCAAAUGAUCACUAUGGGUGGACUAAUGAUAUCCAGGGUGGAAACAGGCAUGACAUGAUAGAUCUCCUCCGAAAUGAAAGGCUGGGUCUUAACCAGUUGUAUGGUAACUAUUAAGGGCCAGCUCUUCAGACGCCUAGUUCAAGAGACAUCUACAACGGUAACUACGGGGUUUGAUACUCUUUUCAGACUGUAUUCCCAUACAUCAGGAACAUCACUGGAUGGCUUAAACCUCGUUGUUGUACUGGCUGGCUGCUCUGCUCGGGAAGACGUGUGUAAUCACCUCUUUGCCAUUAUAAGGCAUUAUGGUGGUGACUUUUGCAACUUGCUGGGUGCUCGGAAACCGGACUAAGGAGAAGAAGCUACAAUUGAUGGAAAUGUUGCGGCUGAAGAAGGGCUUUCUCUACGUGACUUUAACUCAAGAGGAGGCUAGGCCUUCUUCAUACUCUGUUUAGUAAAAAAAAAAAUCUCAUUGUGUAAAUAAAUUAAAAGCUGAAACUUUGAUGGGAGAAAAUGUUGCUGUGUGAAAACAUUAUAUUAAAUGUGAGACAUGCGUAUGUCUUCUUUU